AUACAUAGGGGGCAAGCGUUAUCCGGAAUUAUUGGGCGUAAAGCGUGCGUAGGCGGUUUAUUAAGUCUGAUGUUAAAUCCCACAGCUCAACUGUGGGCUGCCAUUGGUCACUGCUAGACUUGAGUGCGGUCGAGGUAAGUGGAAUUCCAAGGGGAGCGGUGGAAUGCGUAGAUAUUUGGAGGAACACCAGUGGCGAAGGCGCUUCACUAGCCCGAAACUGACGCUCAGUCACGAAAGCGUGGGUAGCAAAUAGGAUUAGAUACCCUAGUAGUCCACGCUGUAAACGAUGACAACUAAAUAUUGCCGCGAGGCAGUGUUGAAGCUAACGCAUUAAGUUGUCCGCCUGGGGAGUACGGUCGCAAGACUGAAACUUAAAGGAAUUGACGGGG
rnacentral:rRNA from 1 species